GCGGCUCGAGCGGCGCCCGGGAACGGCGUCCUCGGCUGUGCCGCCUGGUACUGCACGGGGUCAGCGGGCUUGGAGAAACCUCUGAGGCCGUCCCGUCCCACGUAUGGCUGAACCCUUCCAUGUCAACCAGACCCGUGGUUCACCUUGUGUAAUUGUUUGGCUUGUCUGCUGUUUGUGAUGUACUAAAUCUGUACUUUGGGGGAUUUUUAUGGAAUGCAGAGCUUAUUGCAACAGAAGUGUGAUACAGCUUAUUUGCUUUUUUCCUGCAUCCCGGACAUUUUCCAUGUGGCAGCGAAGCAGAGGUGGACUGGAUCUGUGAUAAGGAUUGUGGCUAUUCCUGGUGCUGUGCGAAUGCACUGUUGAAAGCAGUGUUUUGCUGAAGUCUUCCUGUUCUGCCUUGCUUGCCAGAGAAGCAGGCACCCUAGAAGAACAAUUACAGUGGUUCAUUCUGAGUAUCUUCAGAUAAAUUUGAACUUUGAAAUCUUUCUUCUAUCUGGAAAGAAAUUAGUCCCCCUCAAGUAAGAUGAAAUGGGCAUACUUAAUUUCCGGUUAAAACUGAAGCAUGCAAUUUACAAAACAUUCUUGUUCCUUUCUC